GGAAGGAUCAUUACCAUUGACUUUAUGUCAAAAAACUUGGGUUCGAUUUGCCUGGUUGAUGCGAACAAGCGCUCCUGCGCAGUGUCGCGGCAUUGAGGACUAACAGGGUUCGAUGUCAAGUGUGGUCCGAGUCUAGCAGGUUGUGAGCUGCUUCGAUAUGACUCCUUUCACCUUGCAUUGAUCCCUUGCUAUCUGGGUUACUAUGUUGGGUACCUAAGUUGAAGUGCCUGGUUGCCUGUUAACCCUGCAACCUGCUUAAGGCCUUUAACAUAUCUUCUGUCAGGCUCGAUUAUUGGCCGAGGACAGGUUUAAAGAGCAAGUUGUAGAUCUGUCGUGAGACAGCUCUUGAGACCUUUGGCGGUGUGCGGCCUCGCAUCACCAAACGUUGCCGGUUAAGCAGCGAUUCGGUCUCUCACACAGGCGCCGACUCUGCGCCCAGCUUGCCGCCCAACUCCCCUUUAAACCUUUUAAAUUUUCUCUCCAGGAAACUGGACUAAACUCAUUCUAAGCGGUGGAUCACUUGGCUCGUGCGUCGAUGAAGAACGCAGCCAACUGCGUGAAGUAAUGUGAAUUGCAGACACAUUGAACAUCGACAUUUCGAACGCACAUUGCGGAAGUGGGUUUUUCCCACUUCCACAUCUGUCUGAGGGUGACAGUAGUGACAGCUUUUUGCCUUUUUCUCGCUUCUCACUGGUUCUGUGAGAUGGGAGUAGCAGUUGCCUUAGCGGAUCUCUAAGGCACAGCUUGGCAGACUUGAACUGCUGCAGACUCUGGUCUGUACCAGUUUUGAGGCCAGUUGGAUCGGUGGUUAAAUGCAGAACGGUUCUUUCUGUACCGAUCAGACUUCUGUCAUGCAACAAGCACACAGUUGCGUGGUUUGUAGUUAGAUUAAAACUUACAAGCCACCAACAUGAUAAGUUCUUGCUGCAGGACCUAUAUUCUUCACCUCAGAUCAGGUGUGAGUACCCGCUGAAUUUAAGCAUAUCAGUAAGCGGAGGAAAAGAAACUAACAAGGAUUCCCCCAGUAAUGGCGAAUGAACGGGGAAAAGCCCAGCACCGAAUCCCGCGGUGUCUCAUCGUUGGGAAAUGUGGUGUUUAGGCAAGCCUAACUGGCACGUUGUGGCAGUCCAUAUCCCCUUGAGGGGGGUCAUCGCCCAUAGUGGGUGCAAGGCCCGUACGACGCCCUUUGUGUCAGUUUGAGCUGCCGUGGAGUCGGGUUGCUUGAGAGUGCAGCCCAAAGUUGGUGGUAAACCCCAUCUAAGGCUAAAUAUGAGCACGAGACCGAUAGCAAACAAGUACCGUGAGGGAAAGUUGCAAAGAACUUUGAAGAGAGAGUUCAAGAGGGCGUGAAACCGCUUAGAAGCAAACAGGUGGAGCUGACAUUAACUCUGCUGGAUUCAGCCUGUCAGAAAGUGGACCGCGUGCGUCUGAUCGCAAGACAGGCCGUCGUGUGUUCCAUUUAUGACGGGUGCACUUUCAGUAGAGCUGCGUCACGACCGAUGAUCACGCUGGCGAAGGCCGACUGAUUGCCGACUGCGAGUUUACGCUUGCAGAGCCCCAUCAGCCGAGUCAGUCCGGGUUGUGGUCAUCGGGAACCAAACGCGCUGGCUUGUCUCAUGCUGUAUGGCAUAGGGUCGCUUGAAAUUCUGUAUUGUGCUUGCACGAUGCGGUAACCCUCGAAUCUAUUGCUGUGCUGUCUUGAGUUUGCGCUUAUGGUCAGUGGCGUCCGAGUCAGCCUCCCACCUGACCCGUCUUGAAACACGGACCAAGGAGUCUAACAUGUGCGCAAGUCAUGGGGUGGUAAACCCAAAGGCGUAAUGAAAGUAAAGGUCAAUUCGGUUGACCGAGGUGAGAUCCCCGCAAGGGGCGCAUCACUGUCCCAUCGCAUCUGCUUGUCAGAGCGGUGGAGAAACAGCGUACAUGUUGGGACCCGAAAGAUGGUGAACUAUGCCUGAGCAGGAUGAAGUCAUCGGAAACGGUGAUGAAGGUCCGUAGCGGUUCUGACGUGCAAAUCGAUCGUCAGACUUGGGUAUAGGGGCGAAAGACUAAUCGAACCAUCUAGUAGCUGGUUCCCUC
rnacentral:misc_RNA from 1 species